GCACAGAGUUGGAAGAUGAAUGCACACAUGUGUGGCCAGAGCAGGGUCAAUGCUGUGGUAACCACCAAGACACGGGAGCUCCCCUUCUCCAGAGAAAAGGGAGGGCAGGGCCAGAAGAGCAGUUCUCCAGGCCCAGAAGUAAGCUACACCCACAAUUCUGUAUGCAGCUGUGAGAAAGGAGAGUGGAAAUCCAAGUCAAUGCAGUAUCACCGUGUUCCCAAUCACGAGUAUUCCACUGGGCCCACUGGCUGCCAAGACAUGGAUGGGAUCCAGUGAUGAGCGCCCUGGAAUUCCAUGGAAGACAGCACAAAACCAAUAAAACCACUGGUGUUCAGUUACUCUGGCUUCUAAUUCCUCAGAGUUCCUACAUCUAAGACUUUCAAGGCUCAAUUUUUGGCCUCUGUCCCUUCGCAUAUUUAUUUCCUGAUCUGAUGUGGAAUUAGAGUUAAAUAGGAGCUGUGUGCUUGAAUUCCACGUGGCUGGCUCAGCAGGAAACUCCAGGGCAGGUUUUUUGGCAUGCCAAACUUAUGUUAGCCUCAGCUAUGCUAAUUUCUAAAGCUGUUUGCUUUGCUCAAAUAAAUCUUAGAGACCAAUUUGCAUUUGGAUGCACACCUUUUUAUGCACAAUUUAUGUGCAUGAUAACUCUAGGGCAAAAAAAAAGAAAAAAGGUCUGGUUUUGUGAGGCAGGCACUAUGCUAAGGGCUUUACACACAUUUUCUUUUUUGUUUUGUUUUUUUUUUUUUUUGAGACAGGAGUUUCACUCUUGUUGCCCAGGCUGGAGUGCAAUGGCGCCAUCUUGGCUCACCGCAACCUCCACCUCCCAGGUUCAAGCGAUUCUCCUGCCUCAGCCUCCCUAGAAGCUGGGAUUACAGGCAUGUGCCACCAUGCCCAGCUAAUUUUGUAUUUUUAGUAGAGAUGGGGUUUCUCCAUGUUGGUCAGGCUGGUCUCAAACUCCCGACCUCAGGUGAUCCGCCCGCCUCAGCCUCCCAAAGUGCUGGGAUUACAGGCAUGAGCCACUGCGCCCGGCCUUACAUACAUUUUCUUAUCUCAUCUCCACAACAACCACAUGAGGUAGGGCUGGGAUCCCCAUUUUACAGAUGAGAAAACUGAAGUGAAGAGAGCUUAUGUAACUUGUCCAUGUUCACAGGGUGGUACAUGACAAAGCCUAGAUUUGAACCCAAUCUGUCUGAAUCUGAACCCCAUGUACUUGUCACUUACUCAUACUACCUUACUGAUACCUUCAUCAUCAUCUCCCCUCCCCUAAGCCACUGGGCAUAUAUUCAAACGUAAACUCUACAUUUACAAAAUUAGUUACCCUUUUUUUCCCACUUGGCCUACGUAAAAUAUGUCUUUGGUCCUUGGGAAAUAAAUGUGGACCCCUCCGUAUCACAAAACAAUCAACCAAAGGAGAACAGGGGCACAAUAAGGCAAACUUUAUAUGAUACACCAAUUACAUUAGUAAUUAGUAGACAAACACAAU
rnacentral:lncRNA from 1 species